rnacentral:rRNA from 1 species
AACGAACGCUGGCGGCAUGCCUAACACAUGCAAGUCGAACGAGACCUUCGGGUCUAGUGGCGCACGGGUGCGUAACGCGUGGGAACCUGCCCUUAGGUUCGGAAUAACUCCCCGAAAGGGGUGCUAAUACCGGAUAAUGUCUUCGGACCAAAGAUUUAUCGCCGUUGGAUGGGCCCGCGUUGGAUUAGCUAGUUGGUAGGGUAAAAGCCUACCAAGGCGACGAUCCAUAGCUGGGUUGAGAGGAUGAUCAGCCACACUGGGACUGAGACACGGCCCAGACUCCUACGGGAGGCAGGAGUGGGGAAUAUUGGACCAUGGGCGAAAGCCUGAUCCAGCACUGCCGCGUGAGUGAUGAAGGCAUUAGGGUUGUAAAGCUCUUUUACCCGGGAUGAUAAUGACAGUACCGGGAGAAUAAGCUCCGGCUAACUCCGUG